GACGGAGGAUGCAAGCGUUAUCCGGAAUGAUUGGGCGUAAAGCGUCCGCAGGUGGCAGUUCAAGUCUGCUGUCAAAGACCGGGGCUUAACUUCGGAAAGGCAGUGGAAACUGAACAGCUAGAGUAUGGUAGGGGGAGAGGGAAUUCCUGGUGUAGCGGUGAAAUGCGGAGAGAUCAGGAAGAACAUCGGUGGCGAAGGCGCUCUGCUGGACCAUAACUGACACUCAGGGACGAAAGCUAGGGGAGCGAAUGGG
rnacentral:rRNA from 1 species